rnacentral:rRNA from 1 species
UGCAAGUCGAGACGGGAGACAACCAGUAGCCUUGCCUCCCUGUAUGCUUAGCGAGGCGGGGACGGACUGUAGAUAACACGCUGCUGGUAACCCUGCCCUGCUAUGGACGUGGGGAUAACCUCCGGGAAACCGCGGCUAAUACCGGAUGCUUGCUUUGAACCGAAUGGUUGGACUUAAAAGGUGGCUUCGGCUACGACUUACAGAUGAACCCGUAGCUCGUUAGCUAGUUGGUGAGUUAAUGGCUCACCAAUGCAACGAUGGAUAGCCAACCUGAUCGGGCGAUCGGUCACACUGGGACUGAAACACGGCCCAAACUCCUACGGGAGGCAGCAGUAGGGAAUCUUCCGCAAUGGACGAACCUCUGACGGAGCGUCACCGCGGGAGUGAUGAAGGUUUUCGGAUCCUAACGCUCUGUUGUUAGGGAAGAACAAGUGCCCUUCCAAUAAGGCGGCUCCUUGACGGAACCUAACCAGAAUGCCUCCGUUAACUACGUGCCAGCAGCCGGGGGAAUGCGUACGUGGCAAGCAUUGUCCGGAAUUAUUGCGCGUAAAGGGCUCUCAGGCGGUUUCUUAAGUCUGAUGUGAAACCCCCCGGCUCAACCGGGAAGGGUCAUUGUAAACUGGGGAACUUGAAGGCAGAAAAAAAUAGUGGAAUUCCACGUGUAUCGGUAAAAUGCGUAAAGAUGAGGAGGAACACCGGCGGCUAAGGCGACUCUCUGGUCUGUAACUGACGCUGAGGAGCGAAAGCGUGGGGAGCGAACAGGAUUAGAUUCCCUGGUAGUUCCCGCCGUAAACGAUGAGUUCUAAGUGUUUGGGGGUUUCCGCCCCUUAGUGCUGCAGUUAACCCAUUAAGCACUCCCCCUGGGGAGUACGGUCCCAAGUUUGAAAUUCAAAGGAAUUGACGGGGGCCCCCCCAAGCGGUGGACCAUGUGGUUUAAUUGGAAGCAACGGGAAGACCCUUCCCAAGUUUUGACAUCCUAUGACUCCCCUAGAGAUAGGGCUUCCCCUUCGGGGGUAGAGUGCCAGGUGGUCCAUGGUUUUCUUCAGUUCGUGUCGUGAAAUGUUGGGUUAAUUCCCGCAACGAGGCCAACCCUUUAUUUUAGUUGCCACCAUUCAGUUGGGCACUUUUAGGGGGCUUCCGGGGACAAACCCGAGGAAAGUGGGGAAGACGUCCAAUUCUCCUUCCCCUUAUGGCCUGGGGUUCCCCCGUGGUUCCAAGGGCAGAUCCAAGGGCAGGGAGACCGGGAGGUUAAACCAAUUCCCCAAAUCUGUUUUCAAUUCGGAUUGCAGUUUGCAAAUUGGAUUCCAGAAACUGGAAUUGGUUGUUAUUGGGGAUUAGCAAUCCGCGGGGAAUUCGUUUCCGGGCCUUGUUCCCCCCCCCCGUCACCCCCAGAGAAUUUGUAACCCCCGAAAUCGGUAGAGUACCUCUAGGACCAGUUUAUUAUGUUCACUU